rnacentral:tRNA from 1 species
GCUGAUGUAGCUCAGUUGGUAGAGCAACGGAUUUGUAAUCCGUCGGUCGGGGGUUCAAGUCCCUUCAUCAGCU